CCGGAAUGCAAGUGCGGAGGAAGACCCUAAAGGGUCUCGGGGCUUCUCCCGUUU
rnacentral:tRNA from 1 species